AACGGAAAGGCUCCAGCUUGCUGGAGUACUCGAGUGGCGAACGGGUGAGUAACACGUGGGUAAUCUGCCCUGCACUCUGGGAUAAGCCUGGGAAACUGGGUCUAAUACUGGAUAUGACCUUUCUCCUUAUGGGGUUUGGUGGAAAGUUUUUCGGUGUAGGAUGAGCCCGCGGCCUAUCAGCUUGUUGGUGGGGUGAUGGCCUACCAAGGCGACGACGGGUAGCCGGCCUGAGAGGGUGAUCGGCCACAUUGGGACUGAGAUACGGCCCAGACUCCUACGGGAGGCAGCAGUGGGGAAUAUUGCACAAUGGGCGGAAGCCUGAUGCAGCGACGCCGCGUGAGGGAUGACGGCCUUCGGGUUGUAAACCUCUUUCAGCAGGGACGAAGCGUAAGUGACGGUACCUGCAGAAGAAGCACCGGCUAACUAUGUGCCAGCAGCCGCGGUAAUACGUAGGGUGCGAGCGUUGUCCGGAAUUACUGGGCGUAAAGAGCUCGUAGGCGGUUUGUCACGUCGUCUGUGAAAUCCUAGGGCUUAACCCUGGACGUGCAGGCGAUACGGGCUGACUCGAGUACUACAGGGGAGACUGGAAUUUCUGGUGUAGCGGUGGAAUGCACAGAUAUCAGGAAGAACACCGAUGGCGAAGGCAGGUCUCUGGGUAGUAACUGACGCUGGGGAGCGAAAGCAUGGGUAGCGAACAGGAUUAGAUACCCUGGU
rnacentral:rRNA from 1 species